UACAGAGGGGGCAAGCGUUGUUCGGAAUUACUGGGCGUAAAGGGCUCGUAGGCGGCCAACUAAGUCAGACGUGAAAUCCCUCAGCUUAACUGGGGAACUGCGUCUGAUACUGGAUGGCUUGAGGUUGGGAGAGGGAUGCGGAAUUCCAGGUGUAGCGGUGAAAUGCGUAGAUAUCUGGAGGAACACCGGUGGCGAAGGCGGCAUCCUGGACCAAUUCUGACGCUGAGUGAGCGAAAGCCAGGGGAGCAAACGGG
rnacentral:rRNA from 1 species